GUAAUUUAAAUCAAUAAAAUUGUACUUGUAAAGUGCACCACCAAGAAUAAGAUUUCUAUGUCAAUUUGCACCUAAAUAAAAUCCUUGGGUCACUUGUAGACACAUCUCCAUCCAAACAAUCAUCCAUUACAAUGCUCGGCCUUAAAUUAAUUGAAAUUCAUUAAUUCAAUGGCUAAUACAAAAUCAAAUGACACUUCCAUUACCUAAUCAUGGUUCAUGGUACUC
rnacentral:lncRNA from 1 species